GAGUGCCAUAGGGCGGCGCACAAUUAGCCCAGCUUCGUCCGGGUUUGGCCGUCUUUGUAAAUAACAAUUUGUUCUUAACUGACUUGCCUAGUUAAGUAAAGGUUAAAUAAAACAAAACAUUUAAAACAAUACUGGUCUCUCUAGUCAGGAACUUGAUAGAAACAUACCGGGGGUGUUUUGGUUUCCACUAGUUACCACAACUACAAAGUGUAAAAAAUCGUCAAAAUGUAUAUUAACAGAAAAUAACUUUUUGAUCUUAAUUUAUGGUUAGGGUUAAGCAUAAGGUUAACAUUGUGGUUAAGGUUAGGUUUAAAAUCUAAUUUUAAGAAGCUACAUUUAAGAAAAGGGCGGAGUUUAUAACUCUGUGGCUCUGGUAACUGGUGACGACCGAGUAGUUCGAGCCGAGACUAAGACAACAAUAAAACAAGUCAAGUUCAUCUGACAUCGGAUACAACAUAUUCUGACACGCCAAAGCCAACAACAUCAGCGAAUGUGUGCUUUCUGUCUCGUCAUGCUGAUGGGUGACACGCGUCCAAUAGUAGGUGCUGCAGCCUGACUGCUCUUACUGCCCUUGUCCCCAAUAUCAGCCUGACUGCCCGUACUGCCCUGGUCCCCAGUGUCAGCCUGACUGCCCUUGUCCCCAAUAUCAGCCUGACUGCUCUUACUGCCCUGGUCCCCAGUGUCAGCCUGACUGCUCAUACUGCCCUGGUCCCCAGUGUCAGCCUGACUGCUGGUACUGCCCUGGUCCCCAGUAUCGCCUGAGGCUUCCCCCCACACUAUGGACCUCAACCUUGGGUAGAGCAGUCCUAUACACCCCUGGAGGAACACCCCACCCUCUCUCCUUUCCUCCCUCUUCCCCCUCCCCUGUCUCUGUCCUUCUCUCUCCUUGUCUCCUCCUCUCCUCCUCCAUCCCUCUCUCCUCCAUCUCUCUCCUCCAUCCAUCCCUCUCUCCUCUCUGUCUCCCUCUCUUUCUCCAUUCCCCUGUGUGUGAUGAUGGCUGACGGUACAGAGUCUUUACAGGCCAGUGUAAACUCUUACUGGGCAGCUUCUCCCAUCCACGCCUCCGCUAUGUCUGACGAGGAGACCGAGGGACAGGUCCCUGAUGAGAUAGACAGGGCCCCUCUCCUGCCCAAGCAGCAUCAUGCAGGACCCCCAGGGGCCACCGGGAGGCCCCUAGCCUCCCGCCACUGUCCAGAAGACUCGUACUGUAUGGUGUACAUGAUCUUCUUCCUGUUGGGCAUCGGCUCCCUGCUGCCCUGGAACUUCUUCAUUACGGCUAAACACUACUGGACCUACAAGCUGAGCAAUAAUACUGAUGGUGACGGAGAGGAGCCUCGCUCAGAUCUUAGUGAGUACUUUGAGAGCUAUCUGGCCAUAGCCUCCACUGUGCCUUCGGUCCUCUGUCUGGUCCUCAACUACCUACUAGUUAACAGGUUGUCCCCAGCGGUGCGUAUCCUGUCUUCUCUGCUCAUCAUCUUGGCUGUUUUCAUAGUGACCACGGUCAUGGUCAAGGUGGAUUCGUCUGGCUGUAGAGAGCAGUUCUUCUUUGGGACUUUAGCCAGUGUUGCUAUGGUCAGUGGGGCAUCCAACCUCUUCUCUGGCUCUGUGUUCGGGAUCAGUGGGCAUUUCCCCAUGAGGAUAUCACAGGCACUCAUAUCAGGCCAGGCUAUGGGUGGUACUAUCAGUGCAGUAGCCUCCAUAGUGGACUUGGCAGCAGCUAAAGAUGUGACUGACAGUGCUCUAGCUUACUUCCUGACGGCUGACGUCUUCAUCCUUCUCUGCAUCAUCAUGUACCUGCUGCUGCCCAAACUGGCUUACUCACGGCACUACAUGCUGGCAGCAGAGUAUAACAGGUCAGAGUCUCUACCAGAGCCCCGUGGUGAGCCGGACGGCCAGGAGGGGGCGCCAGCCAGCACAGUCUCCUCCGUGUCCAUCCCUCCUCUAAAACCCAUCCUUCAGAAGACAUGGCUCCUGGGUCUCUGUGUCUUCUACGUCUUCUUCAUCUCUAUAAUGGUGUUCCCUGCCGUCUCCUCUGGGAUCCAGUCUGUUAACCAGAACAGCAUGUUGUCUUCUCAGUCUGUUAACCAGGACAACAUGUUGUCUUCUCAGUCUGUUAACCAGGACAGCAUGUUGUCUUUUCUUCUCAGUCUGUUAACCAGGACAGCAUGUUGUCUUCUCUUCUCAGUCUGUUAACCAGGACAACAUGUGGUCUUCUCAGUCUGUUAACCAGGACAGCAUGUUGUCUUCUCUUCUCAGUCUGUUAACCAGGACAACAUGUGGUCUUCUCAGUCUGUUAACCAGGACAACAUGUGGUCUUCUCAGUCUGUUAACCAGGACAGCAUGUUGUCUUCUCUUCUCAGUCUGUUAACCAGGACGGCAUGUUGUCUUCUCAGUCUGUUAACCAGGACAGCAUGUUGUCUUCUCAGUCUGUUAACCAGGACGGAAUGUUGUCUUCUCUUCUCAGUCUGUUAACCAGGACGGCAUGUUGUCUUCUCAGUCUGUUAACCAGGACAACAUGUGGUCUUCUCAGUCUGUUAACCAGGACAACAUGUGGUCUUCUCAGUCUGUUAACCAGGACAGCAUGUUGUCUUCUCUUCUCAGUCUGUUAACCAGGACAGCAUGUUGUCUUCUCUUCUCAGUCUGUUAACCAGGACAGCAUGUUGUCUUCUCUUCUCAGUCUGUUAACCAGGACGGCAUGUUGUCUUCUCAGUCUGUUAACCAGGACAACAUGUGGUCUUCUCAGUCUGUUAACCAGGACGGCAUGUUGUCUUCUCAGUCUGUUAACCAGGACGGCAUGUUGUCUUCUCUUCUCAGUCUGUUAACCAGGACGGCAUGUUGUCUUCUCAGUCUGUUAACCAGGACAACAUGUGGUCUUCUCAGUCUGUUAACCAGGACAGCAUGUUGUCUUCUCAGUCUGUUAACCAGGACAGCAUGUUGUCUUGUCUGUCUGUUAACCAGGACAGCAUGUUGUCUUCUCAGUCUGUUAACCAGGACAGCAUGUUGUCUUCUCAGUCUGUUAACCAGGACAGCAUGUUCUCUUCUCAGUCUGUUAACCAGGACAGCAUGUUGUCUUCUCUUCAGUCUGUUAACCAGGACAGCAUGUUGUCUUCUCUUCUGUCUCUUAACCAGGACAGCAUGUUGUCUUCUCUUCAGUCUGUUACCCAGGACGGCAUGUUGUCUUUUCUUCAGUCUGUUAACCAGGACGGCAUGUUGUCUUCUCUUCUGUCUGUUAACCAGGACGGCAUGUUGUCUUCUCUUCUGUCUGUUAACCAGGACGGCAUGUUGUCUUCUCAGUCUGUUAACCAGGACGGCAUGUUGUCUUCUCUGUCUGUUAACCAGGACAGCAUGUUGUCUUCUCUGUCUGUUAACCAGGACAGCAUGUUGUCUUCUCUGUCUGUUAACCAGGACGGCAUGUUGUCUUCUCUUCUCAGUCUGUUAACCAGGACAGCAUGUUGUCUUCUCUUCUCAGUCUGUUAACCAGGACAGCAUGUUGUCUUCUCUUCAGUCUGUUAACCAGGACAACAUGUUGUCUUCUCUUCAGUCUGUUAACCAGGACAGCAUGUUGUCUUCUCAGUCUGUUAACCAGGACGGCAUGUUGUCUUCUCAGUCUGUUAACCAGGACGGCAUGUUGUCUUCUCAGUCUGUUAACCAGGACGGCAUGUUGUCUUCUCAGUCUGUUAACCAGGACAACAUGUUGUCUUCUCAGUCUGUUAACCAGGACGGCAUGUUGUCUUCUCAGUCUGUUAACCAGGACGGCAUGUUGUCUUCUCUUCUCAGUCUGUUAACCAGGACAGCAUGUUGUCUUCUCUUCUCAGUCUGUUAACCAGGACAGCAUGUUGUCUUCUCUUCUCAGUCUGUUAACCAGGACAGCAUGUUGUCUUCUCAGUCUGUUAACCAGGACGGCAUGUUGUCUUCUCUUCUCAGUCUGUUAACCAGGACAGCAUGUUGUCUUCUCUUCUCAGUCUGUUAACCAGGACAGCAUGUUGUCUUCUCAGUCUGUUAACCAGGACAGCAUGUUGUCUUCUCAGUCUGUUAACCAGGACAGCAUGUUGUCUUCUCUGUCUGUUAACCAGGACAGCAUGUUGUCUUCUCAGUCUGUUAACCAGGACGGCAUGUUGUCUUCUCUUCUCAGUCUGUUAACCAGGACAGCAUGUUGUCUUCUCUUCUCAGUCUGUUAACCAGGACAGCAUGUUGUCUUCUCAGUCUGUUAACCAGGACAACAUGUUGUCUUCUCUUCUCAGUCUGUUAACCAGGACAACAUGUUGUCUUCUCUUCUCAGUCUGUUAACCAGGACAGCAUGUUGUCUUCUCCUCAGUCUGUUAACCAGGACAGCAUGUUGUCUUCUCUUCAGUCUGUUAACCAGGACAGCAUGUUGUCUUCUCCUCAGUCUGUUAACCAGGACAGCAUGUUGUCUUCUCCUCAGUCUGUUAACCAGGACAGCAUGUUGUCUUCUCAGUCUGUUAACCAGGACAGCAUGUUGUCUUCUCUUCUCAGUCUGUUAACCAGGACGGCAUGUUGUCUUCUCUUCUCAGUCUGUUAACCAGGACAGCAUGUUGUCUUCUCUUCUCAGUCUGUUAACCAGGACAGCAUGUUGUCUUCUCUUCUCAGUCUGUUAACCAGGACAGCAUGUUGUCUUCUCCUCAGUCUGUUAACCAGGACAGCAUGUUGUCUUCUCUUCUCAGUCUGUUAACCAGGACAGCAUGUUGUCUUCUCUUCUCAGUCUGUUAACCAGGACAGCAUGUUGUCUUCUCAGUCUGUUAACCAGGACAGCAUGUUGUCUUCUCAGUCUGUUAACCAGGACAGCAUGUUGUCUUCUCUGUCUGUUAACCAGGACAGCAUGUUGUCUUCUCAGUCUGUUAACCAGGACGGCAUGUUGUCUUCUCUUCUCUGUCUGUUAACCAGGACAGCAUGUUGUCUUCUCAGUCUGUUAACCAGGACAGCAUGUUGUCUUCUCUGUCUGUUAACCAGGACAGCAUGUUGUCUUCUCUGUCUGUUAACCAGGACAACAUGUUGUCUUCUCAGUCUGUUAACCAGGACAACAUGUUGUCUUCUCUUCUCAGUCUGUUAACCAGGACAGCAUGUUGUCUUCUCCUCAGUCUGUUAACCAGGACAGCAUGUUGUCUUCUCUUCAGUCUGUUAACCAGGACAGCAUGUUGUCUUCUCUUCAGUCUGUUAACCAGGACAGCAUGUUGUCUUCUCUUCAGUCUGUUAACCAGGACAGCAUGUUGUCUUCUCUUCAGUCUGUUAACCAGGACAGCAUGUUGUCUUCUCUUCAGUCUGUUAACCAGGACAGCAUGUUGUCUUCUCAGUCUGUUAACCAGGACAGCAUGUUGUCUUCUCUUCAGUCUGUUAACCAGGACAGCAUGUUGUCUUCUCAGUCUGUUAACCAGGACAGCAUGUUGUCUUCUCUUCUCAGUCUGUUAACCAGGACGGCAUGUUGUCUUCUCUUCUCAGUCUGUUAACCAGGACAGCAUGUUGUCUUCUCUUCAGUCUGUUAACCAGGACAGCAUGUUGUCUUCUCUUCUCAGUCUGUUAACCAGGACGGCAUGUUUUCUUCUCUUCUCAGUCUGUUAACCAGGACAGCAUGUUGUCUUCUCUUCUCAGUCUGUUAACCAGGACGGCAUGUUGUCUUCUCUUCUCAGUCUGUUAACCAGGACAGCAUGUUGUCUUCUCUUCAGUCUGUUAACCAGGACAGCAUGUUGUCUUCUCUUCAGUCUGUUAACCAGGACAGCAUGUUGUCUUCUCUUCAGUCUGUUAACCAGGACAGCAUGUUGUCUUCUCUUCAGUCUGUUAACCAGGACAGCAUGUUGUCUUCUCUUCUCAGUCUGUUAACCAGGACGGCAUGUUUUCUUCUCUUCUCAGUCUGUUAACCAGGACAACAUGUGGUCUUCUCAGUCUGUUAACCAGGACAGCAUGUUGUCUUCUCUUCUCAGUCUGUUAACCAGGACGGCAUGUUGUCUUCUCUUCUCAGUCUGUUAACCAGGACGGCAUGUUGUCUUCUCUUCUCAGUCUGUUAACCAGGACGGCAUGUUGUCUUCUCUUCUCAGUCUGUUAACCAGGACGGCAUGUUGUCUUCUCUUUUCAGUCUGUUAACCAGGACAGCAUGUUGUCUUCUCUUCUCAGUCUGUUAACCAGGACAGCAUGUUGUCUUCUCUGUCUGUUAACCAGGACAGCAUGUUGUCUUCUCUGUCUGUUAACCAGGACAGCAUGUUGUCUUCUCAGUCUGUUAACCAGGACGGCAUGUUGUCUUCUCUUCUCAGUCUGUUAACCAGGACAGCAUGUUGUCUUCUCCUCAGUCUGUUAACCAGGACAGCAUGUUGUCUUCUCUUCUCAGUCUGUUAACCAGGACAGCAUGUUGUCUUCUCUUCUCAGUCUGUUAACCAGGACAGCAUGUUGUCUUCUCUUCUCAGUCUGUUAACCAGGACAGCAUGUUGUCUUCUCUUCUCAGUCUGUUAACCAGGACAGCAUGUUGUCUUCUCUCCUCAGUCUGUUAACCAGGACAGCAUGUUGUCUUCUCUUCUCAGUCUGUUAACCAGGACAGCAUGUUGUCUUCUCUUCUCAGUCUGUUAACCAGGACGGCAUGUUGUCUUCUCAGUCUGUUAACCAGGACGGCAUGUUGUCUUCUCAGUCUGUUAACCAGGACAGCAUGUUGUCUUCUCUUCUCAGUCUGUUAACCAGGACAGCAUGUUGUCUUCUCUUCUCAGUCUGUUAACCAGGACAGCAUGUUGUCUUCUCUUCUCAGUCUGUUAACCAGGACAGCAUGUUGUCUUCUCUCCUCAGUCUGUUAACCAGGACAGCAUGUUGUCUUCUCUUCUCAGUCUGUUAACCAGGACAGCAUGUUGUCUUCUCUUCUCAGUCUGUUAACCAGAAGAGUGGCAGCCCCUGGACAACAACAUACUUCACCCCCAUCACUAGCUUCUUCCUCUACAACGUGGCUGACUUCUGUGGUCGUCAGG